UACGUAGGGGGCUAGCGUUGUCCGGAUUUAUUGGGCGUAAAGAGCUCGUAGGUGGUUCGGUAAGUCGGAUGUGAAAUCUGCAGGCUCAACCUGGAGGGGUCAUUCGAUACUGCCGUGACUAGAGUUCGGUAGAGGAGUGUGGAAUUCCUGGUGGAGCGGUGAAAUGCGCAGAGAUCAGGAGGAACACCCGUAGCGAAGGCGGCACUCUGGGCCGAUACUGACACUGAGGAGCGAAAGCGUGGGGAGCGAACAGG
rnacentral:rRNA from 1 species